GAGAAAUUUUUAUUUGUUUGGAAUAAAAUAUGAAAAUAUAAAUUUGACUCAACGCGGGACAACUCACCAGAGCCUAUGUGCAGGAGACAGUGAGCUUUGAGAGCGGACUGGAUAGUACUUUGAGUGGUGCAUGGCCGUUUGCAACACGUGAGGUGACUUGUCAGGUUUACUCCGGUAACGUGUGAUGUGCUGUAUGCAAGUAUAUUGUGAGACUGCAGGCGGUAAGCCUGAUGAAGCGGCGCUAUAACAGGUCAGUGAUGCCCUUGGAUGUUCUGGGCUGCACGCGUAAUACAGUGGGAGCUGUAGAUAUGUAUAGGUGGAAAAGUUCCCGAGACUGGGAUCAUGCUUUGUAAGAAGGAUGUGAACGUGGAAUUCCUAGUAAUCGCUGCUCACUAAGUAGCGAUGAAUGAGUCCCUGUUCUUUGCACACACCGCCCGUCGCUAUCUGAGAUGGAUGUUUUUAUGAAGAU
rnacentral:ncRNA from 1 species